rnacentral:rRNA from 1 species
CCCAAGAGUCCAUAUCGACGGGAUGGUUUGGCACCUCGAUGUCGGCUCGUCGCAUCCUGGGGCUGGAGCAGGUCCCAAGGGUUCGGCUGUUCGCCGAUUAAAGCGGCACGCGAGCUGGGUUCAGAACGUCGUGAGACAGUUUGGUCUCUAUCCUCUGCGCUCGUUGGAAUGCUGAGGAGGCCUGCCCAUAGUACGAGAGGACCUGGGUGGACGAACCUCUGGUAUGCCGGUUGUCACGCCAGUGGCACGGCCGGUUGGCUACGUUCGGAAGGGAUAACCGCUGAAAGCAUCUAAGCGGGAAGCCUGCUCCAAGAUAAGCAUUCCGUGGAACCUUCGAGUUCCUGUAGUCCCCAUGCAGAACACGUGGUCGAUAGGCCGGACGUGGAAGCCCCGCGAGGGGUGGAGCCGACCGGUACUAACGGGCGACGGCGACACAAC